UACGUAGGGGGCAAGCGUUGUCCGGAUUUAUUGGGCGUAAAGAGCGUGUAGGCGGCCAGACAGGUCCGUUGUGAAAACUAGAGGCUUAACCUCUAGACGUCGAUGGAAACCGUCUGGCUAGAGUCCGGAAGAGGAGAAUGGAAUUCCUGGUGUAGCGGUGAAAUGCGCAGAUAUCAGGAAGAACACCCGUGGCUAAGGCGGUUCUCUAGUACGGUACUGACGCUGAGACGCGAAAGCGUGGGGAGCGAACAGG
rnacentral:rRNA from 2 species